rnacentral:rRNA from 1 species
UACCAGCACCCCGAGUGGUCGUGACGAUUAUUGGGCCUAAAGCAUCCGUAGCCGGUUCUACAAGUCUUCCGUUAAAUCCACCUGCUUAACAGAUGGGCUGCGGAGGAUACUAUGGAGCUAGGAGGCGGGAGAGGCAAGCGGUACUUAGUUGGUAGGGGUAAAAUCCGUUGAUCCAUUGAAGACCACCAGUGGCGAAGGCUGCUUGCCAGAACGCACUCGACGGUGAGGGAUGAAAGCUGGGGGAGCAAACCGG